rnacentral:lncRNA from 1 species
AUUCUUGACAUCCCGGCCUUUGGGGAAGGGCCCCCAGGAUUCCUGAGAACCCUCCAGCUGUGUGCGGGGCAGAGGUGGGGGCCUCCACACCUCUGCUCAGGGCAGCCUGGAUGGCUGGACCAGCUCGUACCAUUGAAAAACUUGAUGAUGUCAGUGAAGUCCAUGUUGUUGUCACGGAUGAUCUCUCGCUUACGCAGCCCAGUCCCAUGUCCCGCCAUCCCUCACCAUUGUCGAGGGUGACCAGGAGAGGCGCCAGCAGAUCGCACAUGCCCUGCACAUAGCCCACGUCCAGGUGCUCCCACACGUAGCUGAAAGGCAGGGGGAGAGUCACUGUGGCUGUGCCCCAUUCUUCCCUCCCUCGGGAUCCCUGGGAAGACGUCCUCCAGAGCCACCUGCCGCCCAGAAGUCAGCCUUUCCACGACCCUAAGGCUUGACUGGAUGCCCGAGGCCACGGAGUAAUUGCGAGAGGAGGGCAGUCCUGAGUCUGGAGAGUCGAACUCCACGGAAUGCUGCUGCUCCACCACGGCGGUGCCCGGAGUCCCGGGUCCUGCUUCCUGCUCAGCCUCCAACACUGUGGCCACGGGGCACCAAGCCAGCUUCUGACCCAGCCAGCCAGGCGGAGAGAAACAAGCCUCUGGCCAAACAUGAAGACACGUCUUCAGCCCUGCUUGAAGGAACAGCCCCAGGUCUUCCUGUGGCUACUGAAGGGAAGUAGGGGAGCCAGGGGGCUGAACGCUCAAUGGCCAGUUUGAACUCAGUCUCAUUCUAGAAACGCCUGAAGUCAUGAGACCGGGAGAAUGGCCUUAGUGUUUUGGUGUGGCUGGGUGGAGAGAAGCCUAGAGGUUUUAGGAAAAACAAGUUUUGCCUUAUUUUCAGUACUGAGUGUUCAGCAGGACAAGACAGGAACGUUCUGUAGCAAGCACCUAGUCAGUUCCAUUAGCCCUCAGGCAAGGUGGGGAGAUGUAGGAAGGAAAAGCAAACAUUCUGCCUCCUAGAUACAGUCCACCACCAUGGACAAGGCACGAGGAAAAGAAGAGACACAUACAGAGACUGUUUGGGAUUUUUCUCUCUCUGUUUUCACCACGUAGGGAAAGCAAUGCUAAAAGUAGUUUCUACUUUGGGCAGGAAGCAUGAAGUGCUGGGUAAGGCCACGGUUCUGUGGCAAUCUAAUACGCCAGCGAGGAGCUACUGCUGUCCAUGAGCUCAGCAGCUGGGCACUGGCACAGACAGAUUUUUACAAAACCCAAAGCCAGAGAGAGGGAGAAUGUGUUCCUGGAUAGGGGAUUAAGAACAAAGCACGUGGGAAAUGACAAUGUGCCUUGUUUGUUCUAUUUCUUUUUUUUUAUUUUAUUUCUGAGGCAGGGUGUCUCACUCUAUGGCCCAGGCUAGAGUACAGUGGUGGUAUCACGGCUCACUGCAGCCUCAACCUCCAUGGCUCAGGUGAUUCUCCCGCCUCAGCCUCCCGAGUAGCUGAGACUACAGGCACACACCACCA